rnacentral:rRNA from 1 species
AGAGUUUGAUCAUGGCUCAGGACGAACGCUGGCGGCGUGCUUAACACAUGCAAGUCGAACGAGAUUCAGUGAGUAGCAAUACUCACGAAGAUCUAGUGGCGAACGGGUGCGUAACACGUGAGGAACUUGUCCCGGUCUCUGGGAUAACAGUUGGAAACGACUGCUAAUACCGGAUGACGUCGGAACUUCGCAUGGAGUACUGACGAAAGGGUUACUGGAUCGGGAGAGCCUCGCGGCCUAUCAGCUUGUUGGUGGGGUAAUGGCCUACCAAGGCAUCGACGGGUAGCUGGUCUGAGAGGAUGAUCAGCCACACUGGGACUGAGACACGGCCCAGACUCCUACGGGAGGCAGCAGUGGGGAAUCUUGCACAAUGGGCGAAAGCCUGAUGCAGCAACGCCGCGUGCGGGAAGAAGGCCCUCGGGUUGUAAACCGCUUUCAGAAGGAACGAAACUGACGGUACUUUCAGAAGAAGGUGCGGCCAACUACGUGCCAGCAGCCGCGGUGACACGUAGGCACCAAGCGUUGUCCGGAUUUAUUGGGCGUAAAGAGCUCGUAGGCGGUUCAGUAAGUCGGGUGUGAAAACUUUGGGCUUAACCCAAAGCGUGCAUCCGAUACUGCUGUGACUUGAGUACGGUAGGGGAGCGGGGAAUUCCUAGUGUAGCGGUGAAAUGCGCAGAUAUUAGGAGGAACACCGGUGGCGAAGGCGCCGCUCUGGGCCGAAACUGACGCUGAGGACGAAAGCAUGGGUAGCAAACAGGAUUAGAUACCCUAGUAGUCC